GAUGAACGCUGGCGGCGUGCCUAAUACAUGCAAGUCGAGCGAACAGAUGAGGAGCUUGCUCCUCUGACGUUAGCGGCGGACGGGUGAGUAACACGUGGAUAACCUACCUAUAAGACUGGGAUAACUUCGGGAAACCGGAGCUAAUACCGGAUAAUAUAUUGAACCGCAUGGUUCAAUAGUGAAAGACGGUUUUGCUGUCACUUAUAGAUGGAUCCGCGCCGCAUUAGCUAGUUGGUAAGGUAACGGCUUACCAAGGCAACGAUGCGUAGCCGACCUGAGAGGGUGAUCGGCCACACUGGAACUGAGACACGGUCCAGACUCCUACGGGAGGCAGCAGUAGGGAAUCUUCCGCAAUGGGCGAAAGCGUGACGGAGCAACGCCGCGUGAGUGAUGCAGGUCUUCGGAUCGUAAAACUCUGUUAUUAGGGAAGAACAAAUGUGUAAGUAACUAUGCACGUCUUGACGGUACCUAAUCAGAAAGCCACGGCUAACUACGUG
rnacentral:rRNA from 1 species